rnacentral:miRNA from 1 species
AACUGGCCUGCAAAGUCCCGC